rnacentral:sRNA from 2 species
CAUAACUAAAAAACAUUAUUUAUAAAUGGAAGUUUGGUGAAAAUCCAACGCGGUCCCGCCACUGUGAAAAGCGAAAGCUUAAAGUCAGGUCUUUUUAUUAAUAAUGCUGUGUGCUACUGUUUCGUGGUCAAAGCAGUAGGACUCAU